rnacentral:rRNA from 1 species
AAUGAACGCUGGCGGCAUGCCUAACACAUGCAAGUCGAACGAAGGCUUCGGCCUUAGUGGCGCACGGGUGCGUAACGCGUGGGAAUCUGCCCUUGGGUUCGGAAUAACAGUUAGAAAUGACUGCUAAUACCGGAUGAUGUCGUAAGACCAAAGAUUUAUCGCCCAAGGAUGAGCCCGCGUAGGAUUAGCUAGUUGGUGAGGUAAAGGCCUACCAAGGCGACGAUCCUUAGCUGGUCUGAGAGGAUGAUCAGCCACACUGGGACUGAGACACGGCCCAGACUCCUACGGGAGGCAGCAGUGGGGAAUAUUGGACAAUGGGCGAAAGCCUGAUCCAGCAAUGCCGCGUGAGUGAUGAAGGCCUUAGGGUUGUAAAGCUCUUUUACCCGGGAUGAUAAUGACAGUACCGGGAGAAUAAGCUCCGGCUAACUUCGUG